CUCAGCUCACGGGUAGGGCACUCUUUACCUUUUGUAUUGGUCUGUGUAUGCUGUAUUUGUUUCUUCAGUUGUACAGCGCUGUGGAAUAUGUUGGCACUCACAGUAGCUGCACAUGGCAGAAAAUAUCAUGGAGCUUGGGUCUAUUGCAAUGUGUAAGCUUGGCACUUCAGCUCCAAUAACCCCUAUCAAUCUGGCCCUGCACAAAUGGCACACUAUAGAUGCC